GAUGAACGCUAGCUACAGGCUUAACACAUGCAAGUCGAGGGGUAACGAGAGGAAAGCUUGCUUUCCUUGUCGACGACCGGCGCACGGGUGAGUAACGCGUAUCCAACCUGCCCCCAACUAGGGAAUAACCUUGCGAAAGUAAGACUAAUACCCUAUAAUUUCCUCAGAUGUCAUCUGACGAGGAAUAAAGAUUUAUCGGUUGUGGAUGGGGAUGCGUCUGAUUAGCUUGUUGGCGGGGUAACGGCCCACCAAGGCAACGAUCAGUAGGGGUUCUGAGAGGAAGGUGCCCCACAUUGGAACUGAGACACGGGCCAAACUCCUACGGGAGGCAGCAGUGAGGAAUAUUGGUCAAUGGGCGGAAGCUUGAACCAGCCAAGUAGCGUGCAGGAUGACGGCCCUAUGGGUUGUAAACUGCUUUUAUACAGGAAUAAAGUUAGCCACGUGUGGUUAUUUGUAGGUACUGUAUGAAUAAGGACCGGCUAAUUCCGUGCCAGCCGCCGCUGUAA
rnacentral:rRNA from 1 species